rnacentral:rRNA from 1 species
GUCCUAGCAGUAAACGGUGUGCGCUUGGUGUGAGGGGAUUCGACCCCCCUUGUGCCGGAGCUAACGCGUUAAGCGCACCGCCUGGGAAGUACGGCCGCAAGGCUAAAACUCAAAGAAAUUGACGGGGACCCGCACAAGCGGUGGAGUAUGUGGCUUAAUUCGAUGCAACGCGAAGAACCUUACCAAGGCUUGACAUGGAUUUCUAAGCACGUGAAAGCGUGUGACCCUUCGGGGGACUUCCACAGGUGCUGCAUGGCCGUCGU